UUUUUUUUUUUUUUUUUUUUUUUUUGCUUUAUAGGGCCACACUCACUGGAUAUGGAGGUUCCCAGGCUAAGGGUCCAAUCAGAGCUGUGGCCGCUGGCUUAUGUCGGAGCCACAGCAAUGUGGGGUCUGAGCUGUGUCUGCAACCUACACCACAGCUCAUGGCAACGCCGGAUCCUUCACUCACUGAGCAAGGCCAGGGAUUGAACCUGCAACCUCAUGGUUCCUAGUCGGAAUCGUUAACCACUGAGCCACGCCGGGAACUCCUGUUGUAAGUUUUCAUGAUGACCUGCCUUGUUUGUUGCUCUCCACAUUAGAAAUCUUCCAAAUAGGAGGCCCCGAGGUCCUGUCUACUGACUAAUCCUGACGCUAGGUUUGGGUCCAGGUUUGAAAGGCAGGGCUUAAGAACAUAAAACUCAGCAGCUUGUUGUUGGGCGUGCUCUACUUUUAGGCUUCUCUGCCCAUAAGGGGGGACUUGUAGUCCAUUUGGUUAAGACCAUGGUAGAUUCUUCCACUCCACAAAGGCAGAGGUACUGCAGCAUAAUGUCACAGGCUUUGGGCUCCCUUGGACUUGGGUUCAAAUUUAAUUCCUGCCCUUUAUUAGGUUGAGCCCCGGUUUCCUCUUCUGAAAAAAAUGCAUGAGAGGAUCCCUCUUGUACUAAAUGUGUUUAAUGCCAAAAAACCACAUAGGAGUCACUCAGUAAAUAUUGAUUCCUUCCUCAUUCUUGGAUCUAGGUCUGCCUUGCUUUUCCUUGUGCUUACAGUGCAUGCUAUGACUUAGCAAGCCAGUGUACCUCUGUGGGCAAACAUUUUCUCACUAUACAAGAAAAGGCUAAAAUUGGAUAUUAUAUUCCAAACUAUAUUAUAUAAAACAACAGAUGUCUAUUCAGCAAUUUGUUCACAAACACUUAUUGAGUGUUAAAUUUGUGCCAGACACUUCUAUGCAAUGGGGAGUCAAAAAUGAAUAGGAAAAAAAAUCAUGAUUGUAUGGAACUUACUUAAUUUGCAGAAAAUUAAAAUAGGUAGAAAAUUCAUGCUUGCAUGGAACUUAAUUAAUAUCCAGAAAAUUAAAACAGGUGUGAUAAAAAUAUGAUAGAGUGGACGGAUGGCUGGUUUAAAUUUGGUGGUCAGGAAAGUUUCUCUGAAAAGUGUCCCUUAACCUGAGGUCCUAAUAUCAGGGAGGCAGUCAUGUGAUGAUUAGUAGGAAGACGACUCUAGGCAGAAGAAAUCUUGAACAUCCUAAGGUGUGUUGGUUAAAGAACUGAACAUAGGCCACUGUGGAUCAAGUGUGGUAAUUGAGGGAAGGGCCUUAAUGUGCUCUUGUGAAAUGUGAAUAUUCAAGGAGGUAAUUUAAUUUGCACUAUUUCCCAAAAUCAUUGGACCAGAAAAUCCUUUUUGCAUAGGGUAUCUAUUAACAGCUUUUGGCAAAUACUAUUCCUACACCAGUUUCUGAUUUGUUUCUACUUCCAGACCUCCCUGCUCCAGAUCCAGUUACAAUUCCUACCAAACACUCUCUAAAGAGAAGUCACAUAAUGUCAGGCAUUAACAGAUUUUGUGUCUUUCUCUGUGGCAGGCACUAGACCCAGUUUCCCCAGCUGAGUGUUUGGAGGCUCUGGUCUGGUCCAAUCAGGAGUCAUUACAGGCUCCUUCCACAACACCAAUGAUAAGUCAUCUUGUCCUCAGUGACAGCAGCCUGUUAAGGAUUUCUUCCCAAGUGUAGAUUGCCAACACUUUUGGACACACAUGCUUAAUUUGAGGGAUUUGUGGGACAAGUCUUCAAACUGAGAGAGGUUUGCUUGAGUCUCCGGCCCUGAUAGUCUACCUCCCUCCUUAUCUCAACUCCAUGCAACUGUUCAGACUCAGUCUCAAUUGUCCUAAGAGAGAAGACAACUUAUUUUUAUUCUUACUCUUGUGUAAGUACAAUGCCUACUUAGGUUUAGUUUAAGUACGAGGUAUUUGCACAUGAAGAGAUCCUCAACAAAAGCUUUAGUACCAUAGUGAGUAAUGAUGCAGCUGAACCUUAAGCCAAGAAUUUUAAUUCCAAAGUUUAUUUUCCUAUACCUUAUACUCUGCUACUUUCCUAAAACUUAAAAGCACCCUUACUAACCAGACUCAUGGUGUAUCCCUAGUUUGCAAACUCUUUUUUUUCAUGCCUCCACAUACUCUGCAAGUCCAACACAUCCCCUGGCAGUAACUUUUAAUUUUCAUUUUACUAUUUUCAUUACACAAAAUAAAGGAUGAAGGCAGCUUUCAUGAAUAUUUUAUUUGUAGAAAGAAAUAUUUGUUUCAGGCAUGAAAAGUAACAUUUAAACACUAUCCAAAAAUUGUGCUCAGCUUCGCAAGUAUAAAAUAAGAUUUGGGAGUUCCCUUCACGGCUCAGUGGUUAACAAACCCGACUAGGAUCCAUGAGGAUGCGGGUUCGAUCCCUGGCCUCACUCAGUGGGUUAAGGAUCCGGAGUUGCCGUGAACCGUGCUGUAGGUUGCAGAUGUGGCUCAGGUCUGGCAUUGCUGUGGCUGUGGUGUAGGCCAGCAGCUGUAAUUUUGAUUCGACCUCUGGCCUGACAACGUCCAUAUGCGGCGGGUCUGGCCCUAGAAAGCAAAAAAAUAAAAAUUAAAAAUUAAAACAAGACUUGUAACAAAAAGUUCUCAUACACCUCCACCAGGAAAGCUUGCCUUCAUCCUUUAUUUUGAGUAAAGGGAGAAUAAAGCCCUUACUGAUGAUCCCUGGUGAAUCCUACCCAAUAUUCCACUUCUAUGCAUUGAGAUGUUUGAAGAGAAUAUUGAUAUUACCCACCAAAAGAGGCUGCUGUUUCUCCCUCAUCCCCCACCCCACCCCACUGUAGGAGCUUCUUAUAGACUCAUCACCUAGGAUCAUGUCAAAUAUAUUUAUUUCCUCCAAUCUCUUCCUGAAUGAAGUUAUCUUUUCUCUUUUGCCGUAGCUUUGGGCUAUAAAAUACCAUACAUUUAUGACCUGACACUUAAAAGAGCUCUCUGCAAAGUAGGAGAGUGUAACCUGGUUUCUUAUGAUUGGUCUCUGAUGGGUCGUCAGUGCCCUGGGAAAGUUUAACCAGAUUUAACAUCUUUGAGGGUCUGGAAGAAGAUGGUUGGUAUAUGGAGGUGGCUUGGGGAGGCAACCGGUUGCCUGUGAUAAAAUUGGAUGAGAAGCUCUAUGAGAACAGUAUCUUUGUCUUGUUCAUCAUUCUGUUCUCAGAACUUGAUGUGAUGCUGGAAAUACAGGGCUCAAUAUUUUUGAGGUCAAAGAGAAUCACCAUUGAGUGGCUCCAAUUUCAGCCAGCACCUGCACUUAUACUGUAAAUCCAGACUAUUGGCUUUAUUGACAACCCUCAUGGGUUAAGUACCCCAUGUUUUAUUUAACAGAGAAGGACAGCCCUUGCCCAGGAUGCACAGUUUCCCUAGUAUUUCAGUAUCUAGGGAGCUGAUCUAGUGCCAGGUGGUUGUUUGCUUAAUUCUGAGACCACUGAUCCCAGUGAGCCACCUUGCCUCAUCUGUGCUUCUCCAAACUGGGGUACCACUUUAAAUUUUCCAUCCCAUUACUUGCUACAUUCUUGCUUUGCUUGAAUUGUCACCCCCCUCUGUCAAGAUAGCUAUUCUCACCCAAGUGGUUAUUUUAUAUUUUUAUGGACUUAGCAUAUUUUCUUCCUCUUCAUCCUAAAAGUCAAAUUUAUCCUCAAAAAGCAACUUAAAUUCCCUUAUUCCCUAAUCCUUGGAGAGAAUGGAAUUGUUGCAUUCAUGUAGCUCUGAAAUUACCCUGAAGAAGCUAGUAAUAUUCUUCAUUUUUGGCAUUAAUAGAGACUUCUAUGGUUUGUUUCUUAGCUCUAUAAUAGCAAUGACAUUUGCUCACCCAUUAUUACAACUGCUCUCAGAAUUUUUUUUCAGGAUUUUAAGUCUUGUUCUAAGUGUCUUUCAGGCCCAUAAGAAAGCCUUUCUUAGGAAUAGGAGACUCACCAAUGAGGACAGAACAUGCUGCUGUAUCCUCUGAGUCAUCUUGGCCGUGUUAUGUGAGAAUAGCCUAAAGACAUUUGAGGAAAAUGAAAGAGGCUGUUCAUCUAUUUGAGUCAUUCAAGCACAGACUUCAUUUUACUUUUCUCAUACACUUAAACACAAGCUAAAUUACCAGAUUUCAUGUAGUUGAGCUUGGCUGAGUGUUCGCGUUACAAGUUAGUGUAAACCAUAUUAAAAAUACAAUUUUCAGCAUAUUCAUGUAAAGUGUUUUCUGUUUGUAAAUGGAGGACCAGAAAGGAAUCUUAGAAGUAUGUUCUCUUAGAAGUUAGUUUCUUCAGGGGAGUUCCUGUUAUGGCUCAGUGGUUAAUGAAUCUGACUAGGAACCAUGAGGUUGUGGGUUCGAUCUCUGGCCUUGCUCAGUAGGUUAAGCAUCCGGCGUUGCUGUAAGCUGUGGUGUCGGUCGGCAGCAACAGCUCCGAUUAGACCCCUAGCCUGGGAACCUCCACAUGCUGUGGGUGCGGCCCUUGAAAAGGCAAAAAGACCAAAAAAAAAAAGAAAAAAAAAAAAAGAAGAAGUAUGUUUCUUCAAUCUAGGUAUGAUGUCUUUGCAUACUUGAGUUGUUGGAACCAAGUGUAGGAGGUUAUACUUACUCUUUUAUAUUAUAUCUCUUGAAUUUGACCUUUCCCUUCAGUGGACUAGGAUCGUUUUGGAUUGUAUUCAACUUGACUCUUUAUCUCCUGUACAAUUUGAUAUGCAGGUUCUCUCUGACUGCAUAUAAGUCAUUGGAGAAGAAGUAGAAAACAGGAUAGUGCUAGAGGUGCUGCCCUAAAUGCUGAGAGUGUGGCCCUAAAACU
rnacentral:lncRNA from 1 species